rnacentral:rRNA from 1 species
GGGGAAUUUUGCGCAAUGGGGGGAACCCUGACGCAGCGACGCCGCGUGGGUGAUGAAGGCCUUCGGGUUGUAAAGCCCUGUUGGGGGGGAAGAUAAUGACGGUACCCCCUGAGGAAGCCCCGGCUAACUACGUGCCAGCAGCCGCGGUAAGACGUAGGGGGCGAGCGUUGUCCGGAAUUACUGGGCGUAAAGGGCGUGUAGGCGGCCUUUCAAGUCGGCUGUGAAAUACCCCGGCGCAACCGGGGGGGUGCAGUCGAAACUGGGGGGCUUGAGUGCAGGAGAGGAGGGUGGAAUUCCCGGUGGAGCGGUGAUAUGCGUAGAUAUCGGGAGGAACACCGGUGGCGAAGGCGACCUUCUGGCCUGUUACUGACGCUGAGGCGCGAAAGCCGGGGGAGCAAAC